CAGCCAUACUUGUAGUGGGAGCAAACUAGAGAGUGUUAUAUGCUUGUAUGUUUACAUUGUGCAUUUACACGGGCCGAAACGGAUUUUGCUGUUAAAUUACAAACCAUUUAGUUUGUUAUCGAGUUGCGUGGAGAUGUGCACCCAAACGAAAGCGGCUGUCCGCAUGGUAAACAUCCCGCAGGCAGACAUCGAUCCUUCCGGCGUGUUUAAGUACGUCCUCAUCAGGGUGCACAGCAGAGAGGAAGAAGACGACACGGAAGUAGAUAUCGUCCGUGGAUACGGCUGGGGAGAAUACCACGCGGAUAUCUACGACAAGGUUUCUGAAGAGCUCGAGAAGGAUGGACUACUGGACUGCGAGUGUAUCGGAGGAGGUAGGAUCAGACAUGAUGCCCAGGCUAAGAAGAUCCAUGUUUACGGCUACUCUAUGGGGUUCGGAAGAGCAAACCACGCAAUAACCACUGAGAAACUGAAGGUCCAGUAUCCAGACUAUGAGGUGACCUGGGAUAACGAAGGAUACUGAAAUGAACUGCAACCAAAAUAUGAUAGACAUCCCUUCGCUUCAUUGGAGUUUAACACCAUCAUCAGAGACCGUUUUCAUCAGCAGCUUUUUCGCGAUUAGUCUGAGGUGUACCACGGCCUCUUGCCUGAAGUCAGCUGGGAUAGGCUCAAACACACCCACGACACCAAUGAGGAUCAGAAAAUGGAUGGAUGGAUGGAAGUCUCGUCUUACCUUUUUGUGCCACAUGAUGGCAGUAGUGACAUUUAAAGAUAAGAUUAGGCAAUGGAUUAUUUAAUAAAAAUACUGCUUCAGUAUGGACAUGGAAAGUCAAUAUAUUGAACAUAGUUUUAUAUACAUACCAAUUUGAUUGUCAUUCAAAUUGAGCUUUAUUGUCCUGGACAAGGCAGCAUUUUUGAUGCAGCUCUUGUAUUGGAUCUCAUUGUAUGGUGCUCAUGUACUGUAACUAAUGUGGACACUUGAUUGCAUAUCAAAUAAAUUGAC